AUGUCCCCCGGGAUGGAGCAGGAGAGGGAGUUUAGGGUCCACUUGGACAAAGGACAGAAUGAAAGUAUUUAUUUCCACAGUGAUCAAAUCAAUUUCCCAGUGAGAGUGGGUGCCUCAGUAACAAUCUUCUCUUCUGUUCUGCUAAAAGGAUCUCUCUUUUCUCCCCCUUUGAGCUACAUUAAUGACAAGUCUUCUGUGAGUUCCCAGGUGGCACAAUGGAUUAAGGAUUGGGCAUUGUCACUGCUGAGGCAGGGAUUCAAUCCCUGGCCCUGGGAACUUCUGCAUGCCACAGGCCUGGCCAAAAAAUUAAAUGAGAAGGACACAGCUUCUUCUCUCUUCUUAGCUUGGUGGGUGCCAUCCCCAGGAGAUGAAAGGAAGCAAGGAACUCAUUCUGCACAUAAAUACUUUCAAUUUUACAGCAGCCUGCCUUAUUUCAAGAAACUGAAUGUCCGUCCGUGGAAAAAGGUCAGCCCUAAGAGAAGACCUCACCUCUUCCUAAAAGAUGCCACAGAUCUUCACUCUGCCCCUGCUGAAGAUUGACUCAACUAAGGCACCAUGAGGACUGUGCUUUUCUCAUCUUCCUGUGAUACCACGUUUGUCCCAAGCACCACAAGAGAGGACAUCUGAAUUCCAAUUCCAGAGACCGGUGUGUCUAUUUGAGCCUAUGGUGCUUUUUGCACAGUUCAUUCCCGUAUCAUCUGCAGCAAUUCUAACUGUUUUAGAGUGUUGACUGGACACCGCCUUCAAUGGUGUUCUGCAGAACAAAUGGAAGAAAAAGGAUUCCCGCUCAGCUUCCCAGCAUGAACUGGCAUCCAUGAUACAGACAAAGACACAAAAAAAUACAAUGCAGCUAAGGCUCAGAUGAGCCUUGAAAGGCAUCCAGCUGCACUCUUAAACCCAGCUGGUAUGUCUGCUGGUUAAAUAACAGAACAGACUGGUAAGUCUCAGAGAACCUGGUGCUGAAGUCCAGAAGGCUGUCAUGUCUGUGUGUGCUUGGCCUCCCUAGGAAGCAGGAGGCUGGGGGAAGAGACUCAGUAGCAAGAUAUUAAGAAAGAUGGAGGUGUCCUAACUAAGAAGGACCCUACCAAAUAGCUGACUCCUCCUUGGAGUCUAGUUUCAAGGAGACAGAUUGGAAAUUAGCAGUGAGAUGUGGGCCAUAAGGCCCAUGGGGGUCAAA
rnacentral:lncRNA from 1 species